AAUUCCGUGUAAUUGUAUUGUUGCUUUCCAGAAUUUAGUAUUUCUAAAAUCACGAGCUUAAAACUAAGGUUGAUUUCAAGGUUCAGCAUCCGGAGCACUGAAUGCCCUGCAAUAUGUUUAUGAUAACCAUGAUGAAGGACGCGGUGAAACAGUUUUAGUGUUAAAAGGUUCUUAAAGCUACUUCCGGAAUUAAACAAACAAUGCCAGGACUUACCAAUUUGGAAAACGGCGAAAGAGGUAAUGCUAUCAGAGAAUCUAAUGAAGAGGCGAUACAGACGGACGAGAAACGGAAGAAAUUAAGUGACAAGAAAUUGGAAAAUCAACUCGAGAUCGAAAUCGGAAUACAAGAAAUUGCUAAGAGUAUCAUUACCAUAAUUUCCGUACCUCUAAAGACCAUCGCCUCAUUUGCAGAAUAGCACCCGAUCAUUUUCACGUCAGGCGCUGUUUUGACAGUUGGGUUGCUCUACUCAAAAGGACCUGCGAUUCUUGCAUAUCUUAAAUCCACACCAGUUGUUACAAAAACUGUGGUCGAGACUACUCUACCGGCUGAUACUGCAGAUAAAUUAUUAGCAGUGGUUGUUUGAGCUUGAAGACAAAAAGGUCUGACAGAUGUUAAGACUUAAACAUGUUUGUUAAAUUGCAUGAUAAAAUACAAUUAUGAACAAAGUAUUACAUGUUGUUUAGAUAAUGUUAUAUUUGUAUCUCUUUGUUAACAUUGUCAGACAGGGUUAUGUAGAAUAUAUGCAAUUAUGCGUUAUAUGUUUAUAUUGUUACCUGUAGGAGCUUGAAACAAUGUUCUUAUUUCGUUUUAAAAUACUAGUUUAUCAAAUAAAUUAUAAGCAGUAUAAUGACAUAAGUGACAUUCACUUCAACCAAGUCUACUCUAAUGAGUUUUAAAGUAUCAUUGGUUAAUUUUAGAUGACGUUGCUAACCACCUGUAUGGCCAAAAUAUUUCAUUAUGUCUAGAAUCUUAACAAAACUGUUUAUUUUAUUGUGUGUUUUCUUUACUUGUCUUUAGUUUAUUCACUAAUUGAAACGUUAUGUGCAUCUACUAUAUCAUAUCCCUAAGUAAAUGAACAUCAAGAAAUAGUUCAGUCUAAUAGGGAUGUAUAACUUCGUUAUCAUUCAAAGGGACCAUCUUAUCACCGCACAUAUCAUACGACCGUUAUUUUAAAUUAAUUAUAUCGCCGUAGGUAUACUCUGUCUUUUCCAAAACAAAAAGCAUUCUUGGUCGGUUUAGGUCAAGUGAAUAUGUUAAAUUGCAAUUGUGAGACCCAUUACCCAUUAAAGUGACACUCUUAUUCAUUAUCAGCACAUGCACAUGGGGAACAAACAUAAAUUUUGAGUGACCUUUAACUACUUACUAAAUAAUGUAUUUAUUGAAAAUAUUUAUUACUGAUAACAAGAUUGUCCCAUGUAUUGAAUAGCUGAAAACGCAAAAACAAUUAGAUGAUUGGUGAAUGCUUACAGAUUUACAGUGAUCUACUUUUGUCUUAAUAUAAGGUAUAAUUACAAAGAAUCCCUAAACGUCUUAUUCUCAUUUCAUCUUGUACUUCAGACUAAAAAAAAUCAAAAGAUACUACAGCUUUUAAAAGAGGAAGCAGAUUCUUAUAUAUGUUCUAAUAAGUAUGCUUAGAAAAAAACUGAGGCGAAAAGAUAUUUUCUGUCUUUUUUCUGCACUAAAGCACACAGCCAAUAAAGAGUUUGUAAACAAUCAAAUCCAGAAAUUUUGCAAUAAAUCAAUGCUUGAUAGAUUGCGUUAUAGUUCACCAGAGGAUCCUCUUGGUAGGAGGGCUUUUAUAUUUUGUAAACAUACCUGUGUCUUUAUAGAACUGUGAUAAUCUAAUCGUGUACAUUUUGAUGUUCGUGUUUAUGGUAAUUCACCAAAGAGUUUAUUGUUGUUGUUUUUCAGAACAUUGUUCGGAUCAUAUGUUGAAUUAUUGAAGGAUCAGACGCUUUAAAUAUAAUGUCUUCUUUCGAUCAAUUGUCACUUUUAGUUUUUACUAUAGUAAAACUAUGACUUUACCGACAAUCUUAUUCAGCGUAUUUGCGAUUCCUCGUUGAAACAAAAGCCAUAGUAGAACGAUAUCAAUAUCAAAUUUCAAUCCUUUUAGUUUAUUAUUUGUAUGUUGUUAAAAUAUGUUACCAACUAUAUUCAGCGGCAGGUUAUGUCAGUUGUUAGCGUACUCGUUUUUCACAAAGGUGUCCUUGGUUCCAUUCCCGACCUGUACCAAAACUAAUUUUUCCUUUUACUGUGUUACCAAAUCCUCCCGAUCAACUGAUAAACGAGAUAACAAAAUCUAUUUUUGCUUUUAUAUGGGAUAAUAAACCUGACAAAAUUAAAAGAGAACAGUUAUACCUCUCCCGUGAAAAUGGGGAAUUAGGGCUCCCGAAUUUAAAUAUUUAUACAAGCUAUAAAAUCAAGCUGGAUUAAAAGAUUAAUUGAUGAUAGCAAUCAUGGGAAAUGGAAAAUAUUUUUUAAUAAAACACUUUACAAAAAGGGUGGAAAUAUAAUAUUUGACUGUAAUCUGUAUGAUCUGUAUGAAAACGAUAUCAAAACUUCAUGUGGUCAAAAUAUUUAUCCUUACAUCUUGGAACAUGUUUAGAAAGAAGCAAGCCAACACACACAUAAGAAAAGUCAUAAUUUGGAACAACUCCGAAUUAAAAUGUAAUAAUGAAACAAUAUAUUAUAAAGAAUGGCACGAAAAGCGGAUACUCUAUCUUGAACAUAUCUUCUACUUUAGAUUUAAAAAGUUAUAUUCAUUUGAUAACAUGCAAUUUCUAUACGAAAUCCCCUAUCUAAAGUAUCUUAACUUAUUUAAAAUAUACCUCAAUAUAUAAAAAAUGAACUAAAAUAUCAGAUAUUACAGUUUUGGCUGAAAAAAAAUCGAUGUUUGAAAAAAUUAAGACCCCCGCAAAAAAUAACGCAGUUAUUGAAAUAAAACAUAAACAUAUAUGGGGAAAACUCUUUCAACGAAACACUUAAUUGGAAGGAAGUAUAUUCACUGCCAUAUAUAACAACAAUUGACACAUGUAUGCGAUCCUUUAAGUUUAAGAUAAUCAACAGAAUUAUACCAACAAAUAAAUAUCUAUUUAAAUGCAAAUUAUCCAAUUCUAGUUUAUGCAACUUGUGUUCCAACUUUGAGGAAACAAUAAACCACAUGUUCUGGGAAUGUCAAAUCAUACAAGACCUUGUAUAAAACGUUUUAUUAGGAAUAACCGUGGAAAGAAAUUAUAGCUGCAUUAACUUCAUAGUUAUACUUCUAAAAUUCUACAUUUUCUGUUAAAAAAACCCAGAGAGACUAUUCCUUUCUUCCGAAAUUUUGAAAAAUACUUAUAUAUUCGAAUCAAUAUUGAACGUAAAACAGCUAUUAUGAAAGAUAAAUUAAAUGCCCAUUUGCAAAAAUGGGUUUUUCUUUUAUAAUCAUCAGACAUAUAAUAUAUUUUAGAAAGCCAGUUUGUCUCUUCUCCUUUCCUUAUUGUUUAAAAAAAUAUUGAUAUUUUCUUUCUUUCUUUUUUUUCGCCCAAUCUCCCCCCUUUUUUCUAUAUCAGAAAAUCGCAAAACAAUUGGUUCUUCAUAUGAA